AACGCCGUAAACGAUACUGACUAGGGAUUGGUGAGGUAAACCCUCAUCAGCACCUAAUGAGAAAUCAAAGUCUUUGAGUUCUGGGGAGAGUAUGGUCGCAAGGCUGAAACUUAAAGGAAUUGACGGAAAAAUACACAAGUCGUGGAUUCUACGGCUUAAUUUGAUUUAACACGGGAAAACUUACGCAGGCAAAAAGUUAAAAGGAUUGACAGCUUGAUAGCACUUUCUUGAUUUGGCAGCGAGUGG
rnacentral:rRNA from 1 species